AAGGGCACAGUUGCUAUCGGUUAGGGACGAAUGCUGCUGACUCAGUCACUCUAUCCUGUCGACGAAUCAAAUCCAUAUUUACUGAGUCACAAUCGAGUGUGCCCAACCUCAUCGAACUUGCCUACUUCCUACCCGAAUCCAAUCACUUCACGUGGCCUUCAGCUCGAGCUGUUCUAUGCUUGCACGCCAAAAUCUCCAAUUUAAUUAACUUAUAAUCCUAAUUCUCUUCUAUUAACAUACACUUCUUCUCCUUCCUUAGGAAAGCAAUAGCAAGUGACGAUGCAAAGGCUGUUUGCAGCGAGGUCUCUCUGUUCUUCGAUUUUAAGGAAGCAGACACAGCGUGCUUCUUUCUCUACUUCUCUCCUUUUGGACGAUACUCAGCUUCAGUUUAAGGAAAGUGUUUCCCAAUUUACUCAAGAAAACAUUGCUCCUCACUCAUCGAAAAUAGACCAAACCAAUAAUUUCCCCAAGGAUGUUAACUUGUGGAAACUGAUGGGGGAUUUUAAUCUACUUGGAAUUACGGCACCAGAGGAAUAUGGAGGACUUGGUCUUGGUUACUUGUAUCACUGCAUAGCUAUGGAAGAAAUUAGCCGUGCUUCAGGAUCUGUUGGCCUUUCCUACGGUGCCCAUUCUAACCUCUGCAUUAAUCAGUUGGUGAGGAAUGGAAGUCCUGCUCAGAAACAGAAGUACUUGCCAAAGGUUCUAUUUCCUUACCUUUUUUCCCUUAAUCAUUCUUUUCCAUUCUACCAUUUCCACCAUUCCAUCUAGCUGAAUGACAUAUUCUGGCAAGACUGCAGUUAUUUCCUUCUGCACCAAAGAAAUGAUGAUUUUGCUAUAAUAGUUCUUUAUGAUCAAACUUAAAUUAAUUUUAUUAUCCAUCUGUUGCCUGAAAUGUUUUUACCAAAAUUUCAUUUUAACUGACCAAUUAUAUAUUGUUGCAAAGCUUAUCAGUGGAGAGCAUGUGGGAGCUCUUGCAAUGAGUGAACCCAAUGGUACGUCUUAUUUUUAACUUAUGCUGGACUGAUGAGGGGAAUGUAGCUUUUUCUUUAUUUAUUCUGGCCAAUUUCUUUGUGUUUUUCUUCAGCUGGCUCUGAUGUUGUUAGCAUGAAAUGCAAAGCUGAUCGUGCAGAUGGGGGCUAUAUUCUAAAUGGGAACAAGAUGUGGUGCACAAAUGGGCCAGUUGCUCAGACAUUGGUAAUUUUGUUGAGACUGCAUUUUUAACUUUUUUUUUAAUAUAAAGUUGCUCCCUUUUUUUGAACUUAUAAUUUCUUAAUGAUCCAUUUAUUUUUCUUUGAGGUAAAUUAUCUUGGUGAUAUUUCAAUAUGAUCCUUAUCUCAAUUUAUUUGUCAUUCAAAAACUAUUUAAAAAUUAUUUCAUCAAGGUCACGGUUGUAUGGACUGAUAUGUCAUCUGCAUCAAUAGUCAGGAUCCAAGGUGAAAUAUUUAUGAGGUACAUGUGACGAUAUAACCUACCAAAGUGAAUGCCACGGUGGAUGCCAGCAGGGGCAUAUUCAGAGUGAUUUUAAUUUAGUUCUAUCAAACACGGAGAGUGGUAUUUCAUAAUUUUGCAGUAUAACUAGGCACUUAGAGAAUAAGGCAGCACAUGUGAUUAUGUAGAAGCAAGUCUAUGCUCUUGCAGGAAUGGAAUUUAUUCACAAAAUUUGUCAAGUACUUUAAAACUAUAACAUUCAACUCGUAAAAUCUUAUUGUUGUUUCAGAUUUGGUUAAAGAAAGUGCUGUUACUUGUAACGUAAUGCAUUUUGCUUCUCUAUCUUUCCUCAAAGUAUCAAUGUUUUCAUGCACAGAGUUUGUUCUGGCACACAUUGGUUAUAGCUCACACAGCUAUCCUUUCGGCUCUGGUUACCUGUAUCAUAUUUUGUUUCAUGAAGAUCUCUUAUUUGUUGAAAGUGACAUGUAGAGUUGUUUACA
rnacentral:misc_RNA from 1 species